UCUUUGAGAGAAAGAGUCCCAUCAUGAGAGCAGGCCCUGCACAUACAUGGGACUGAGGCCUCCGUGUUCCCAAUGUAUGCCAGGCAGAAAACUGUUCUGUAAAAGAAGAAGUUCCUGGCCCUGGUCUUACAGUGAGGCAGGGAGAAGUCAGGAUCACGGCCAGGUCCGGAGACAAACACUCGCCACUGUCCUCCAGCCCUAGGAGCACACCACCCCUGGCCGUCUGGAGCGGCUUCCACAGGAAAAGCUACCCUCCUGAGAGAUAAGAUUGAAAGAAAAGCAAACCACCAAGCCUCGUGGUGGUAUGUCUUUAGUUCUUACCCAUCUUCUUAGAGGAUAUUUAAUAUAAAUAAAUCAAUGCUAAGAGAU